UGGCCUGGUCGGAAGACCCGGGUCCACAUCAAUGACGGGCGAGACGCCC
rnacentral:ncRNA from 1 species